UACGGGGGGGAGCAAGCGUUGUUCGGAUUUACUGGGCGUAAAGGGCUCGUAGGCGGCCAACUAAGUCAGACGUGAAAUCCCUCGGCUUAACCGGGGAACUGCGUCUGAUACUGGAUGGCUUGAGUUCGGGAGAGGGAUGCGGAAUUCCAGGUGUAGCGGUGAAAUGCGUAGAUAUCUGGAGGAACACCGGUGGCGAAGGCGGCAUCCUGGACCGAUACUGACGCUGAGGAGCGAAAGCCAGGGGAGCAAACGGGG
rnacentral:rRNA from 1 species